rnacentral:rRNA from 1 species
AGCUUAACUCUGGAACUGCCAUCAAAACUUUUCAGCUAGAGUAUGAUAGAGGAAAGCAGAAUUUCUAGUGUAGAGGUGAAAUUCGUAGAUAUUAGAAAGAAUACCAAUUGCGAAGGCAGCUUUCUGGAUCAUUACUGACACUGAGGAACGAAAGCAUGGGUAGCGAAGAGGAUUAGAUACCCUCGUAGUCCAUGCCGUAAACGAUGUGUGUUAGACGUUGGAAAUUUAUUUUCAGUGUCGCAGCGAAAGCGAUAAACACACCGCCUGGGGAGUACGACCGCAAGGUUAAAACUCAAAUGAAUUGACGGGGACCCGCACAAGUAGUGGAGCAUGUGGUUUAAUUCGAAGAUACGCGCAGAACCUUACCAACACUUGACAUGUUCGUCGCGACUUUAAGAGAUUAAAGUUUUCGGUUCGGCCGGACGAAACACAGGUGCUGCAUGGCUGUCGUCAGCUCGUGUCGUGAGAUGUUGGGUUAAGUCCCGCAACGAGCGCAACCCUCACUUUUAGUUGCCAUCAUUUAGUUGGGCACUCUGAAAGAACUGCCAGUGAUAAGCUGGAGGAAGGUGGGGAUGACGUCAAGUCCUCAUGGCCCUUACGUGUUGGGCUACACACGUGCUACAAUGGUAUCUACAACAGGAAGCAAGACGGCGACGUUUAGCAAAUCCUUAAAAGAUACCUCAGUUCGGAUUGCACUCUGCAACUCGAGUGCAUGAAGCUGGAAUUACUAGUAAUCGUGGAUCAGCGUGCCACGGUGAAUGCGUUCCCGGGUCUUGUACACACCGCCCGUCACACCAUGGGAGUUGGUUCUACCUUAAGGCAAGGUUUCAAACCCUUGACCACGGUAUAGUCAG